rnacentral:rRNA from 1 species
CUGGGCGUAAGCGCACGCAGGCGGUCUGUCAAGUCGGAUGUGAAAUCCCCGGGCUCAACCUGGGAACUGCAUUCGAAACUGGCAGGCUAGAGUCUUGUAGAGGGGGGUAGAAUUCCAGGUGUAGCGGUGAAAUGCGUAGAGAUCUGGAGGAAUACCGGUGGCGAAGGCGGCCCCCUGGACAAAGACUGACGCUCAGGUGCGAAAGCGUGGGGAGCAAACAGGAUUAGAUACCCUGGUAGUCCACGCCGUAAACGAUGUCGACUUGGAGGUUGUGCCCUUGAGGCGUGGCUUCCGGAGCUAACGCGUUAAGUCGACCGCCUGGGGAGUACGGCCGCAAGGUUAAAACUCAAAUGAAUUGACGGGGGCCCGCACAAGCGGUGGAGCAUGUGGUUUAAUUCGAUGCAACGCGAAGAACCUUACCUACUCUUGACAUCCAGAGAACUUUCCAGAGAUGGAUUGGUGCCUUCGGGAACUCUGAGACAGGUGCUGCAUGGCUGUCGUCAGCUCGUGUUGUGAAAUGUUGGGUUAAGUCCCGCAACGAGCGCAACCCUUAUCCUUUGUUGCCAGCGGUCAGGCCGGGAACUCACAGGAGACUGCCAGUGAUAAACUGGA